rnacentral:tmRNA from 1 species
GGGGAUGUACCGGUUUCGACGGGGGUGUUGAUGCGGUGCGGGGCAUGUCGAGGCGCUUAACCUCGUUAAAAUGAGCAAUCGCAAAAAUAACUGCGAACGAAGAAACUUUCGCUCUCGCGGCCUAAGCCCGCGGGACCUUGCAUCGGGUUGCGCUUGACCCGAGUUUCGUAAGAAACCGCAAGGACAUUUAAAGCGCUCGCGCCGCUUCGGGUUACUUGAAACCGGCGUUAAACUUAGGUAACUGGUCGCCGCAUUGCCUGUGCUUUGGCAAUGUUGCGACAAGACACAAAAAAGCACUAAGCAUGUAGUCCCGGCUGUUGAUAGCUUUCGGAAGCGGGUUCGACUCCCGCCAUCUCCACCA